CAGCAGCCGCGGGAAUACGUAGGGUGCGAGCGUUAAUCGGAAUUACUGGGCGUAAAGCGUGCGCAGGCGGUUUUGUAAGACAGGCGUGAAAUCCCCGGACUCAACCUGGGAAUGGCGCUUGUGACUGCAAAGCUAGAGUGCGGCAGAGGGGGAUGGAAUUCCGCGUGUAGCAGUGAAAUGCGUAGAUAUGCGGAGGAACACCGAUGGCGAAGGCAAUCCCCUGGGCCUGCACUGACGCUCAUGCACGAAAGCGUGGGGAGCAAGCAGGAUUAGAUACCCCUGUAGUCCCUGUCUCUUAUAA
rnacentral:rRNA from 1 species